AGGACGAACGCUGGCGGCGUGCCUAACACAUGCAAGUCGAGCGGAGUCGAUCGACGGAAGCCUUCGGGCGGAAGAUGGUUGACUUAGCGGCGGAUGGGUGAGUAACGCGUGGGCAACCUGCCUCGAAGACCGGGAUAACAGCCCGAAAGGGCUGCUAAUACCGGAUGUGGUCAAAGAUCCGCAUGGAUUUUGAUUAAAGGGGAAACCCGUUUCGAGAUGGGCCCGCGUCCUAUCAGCUAGUUGGUGAGGUAAAAGCUCACCAAGGCGACGACGGGUAGCCGGCCUGAGAGGGUGACCGGCCACACUGGAACUGAGACACGGUCCAGACUCCUACGGGGGGCAGCAGUGGGGAAUCUUCCACAAUGGGCGAAAGCCUGAUGGAGCGACGCCGCGUGAGCGAAGAAGGCCUUCGGGUUGUAAAGCUCUGUCUGGAGGGACGAAGGAAGUGACGGUACCUCCGGAGGAAGCCACGGCUAACUACGUG
rnacentral:rRNA from 1 species